CACGUAGGGCGCGAGCGUUUGUCCGGAAUUAUUGGGCGUAAAGAGCUCGUAGGCGGCCUGUUGCGUCCGCUGUGAAAGCCCGGGGCUUAACCCCGGGUCUGCAGUGGAUACGGGCAGGCUAGAGGUAGGUAGGGGAGAAUGGAAUUCCCGGUGUAGCGGUGAAAUGCGCAGAUAUCGGGAGGAACACCGGUGGCGAAAGCGGUUCUCUGGGCCUUACCUGACGCUGAGGAGCGAAAGCGUGGGGAGCGAA
rnacentral:rRNA from 1 species